AUCCAGUUGACUAGUCUCAAAUAGGACGAAACGCACGUCUUGGAU
rfam:Schistosoma haematobium scaffold134_29, whole genome shotgun sequence.